UACCCUGAAAAAUAUAUCGUGAGCCUACACUUGAGUCUUUCACCGUAGAUGAUUCAGCAGCAAACUUUGUUUUUGAUUUGCUUCCUCUAGUGAAAUUACUCGUGGAUGGUUCAGCAGCAAAUUUUGGCAUGGUAAAUUUCAGUUUGCCAAAACUUUCUUCAUGGUUGCCUCUUCUAUGACAUCGGCGACCAAAACUGAGUUGGAAGCGGUUGUCAUCAGCCUCAUCUUCAGAUUCAUCAUCAUUUCUUUGACUAUGUCUUCUUCCUCUACCAUGUGCAGCCCUCCGGUUCCUCUGACCUCCUCCUCUUCCAUCACUAUCUUCUCUAUCUCCACUAUGGUUGCUUGCACCAUCAUGAGGCGGACGAUGCCUUCUGAUUUUAGUCAAAGAUUCUGAAGAUCUUGUGUCAACCUCUCUUGUUUUUCUUCCAUGCUUUGUCGAAGUUUAUUAAAUUGUGCUAUGGUGACACGAUCUUUGAUGUCCACUCGACCCAUCUUCCUGUAAGGUUAGCUGAAUACAAAUAAUUUGUAUUUGUGGAAUAUGAAAAUUUGGUGACUCUCACAACUCACCUCUCUAACCACCAAGGCUCUUAUGAAUUCCUCUGCUGCAGAUUACUAGGAAAACAAAUGUCUGGUUGCAACUGAAAGUGAUGGCGAGACGAAUACAAGAACAGAGAGUACCGAUUACGAUGAUUUUUAUGUGGAGCUUGGCGGGGAGUAAUACACAAGGAAUGCAAUCUGAAUUCUAGUUAUUGUAAAGUUAAGUAACGAUCCAAACUAGAAGUUCUCUGCCUAGUGCUGAUCAAAAGAUUCGAAGUGUAUAAAUAGAUCACACACACGCAAAUAAAUUUCAGAAUUGAUGCAAACAAGGAGUAUGAUUGAGAUGCAAGUGUUGCAAUCAGACCCAACCAAAGUUUUGCACCAAACAAAGAUAGCAAACUGGUUGUAGAACUUGAUAUGAAACUUUCAGCACUUGUGCACAUAAACCAACUAAUCUUUUAGACUUUCUCUCUGAACCUUUCUCAACUUUUUUUUUCACUUCACUUUUUUUUGCACUUUCUUUUCUUUCUUUUUUUGGACACACUUAUAUAUAUAUAGAACUAAAAACAGGGAUCAGAUUAUGAUACUUGCACAACUAAGACAGAAAUAAAACAACAACCAGCAGCCAGAUAGGACCAAAGUUAACACAAAGGAUGAUAUAGGCUAUAGAGAUUUUUUUUGUGGGGAUUUUUAGAUAUAAAAGAGGCACAAAGAACACGCGAAGGAUAAAUGAUCAGCAACUAAAACAAAGACUCUAAUGGAUUGCGACUUAACCAAACUCACUAAAAUAACAGAUUGAAACAAAGGUCUAAGCAAUAUAUUUUUCUGGCUUUUUGGUGGAUAGGACGAAGCAAAAAUAUAUAUGUAGCUAGGGAUAAAAUUCCUACCGUGGUAACGAAAGCUUUGAUACCAGAUAAUGCGAGACGUUGUCCCGAUCUUCACGACGUAGGAUGAACACCGAUAACUAGGUGAAGAACAGCCGGAUAACUUGCUGCAAGCAGUGAUAACUAGUGCAACAUGACAAAUAAAACUAGAAGCCAACCACCGUCUUUAACCGGCAACCUGAAUCGAGGAUUAGCCCAACCACACUCUCAAAGAACCAACCAACACAACCUACACUCAGUCAAGGAAUACCUUGAAGGGAGUAGGAGCACCAAUUGGGAGCGGAUGAAGCCACCGCCUAUGUAAUCCCGCGAGGAAAUAACAAGAGCAAAGGGGUAGAGAUCACUCUCUAAAUUUGUUAGCACGCAGCUGAACAAAGGGGUUCUGUAUUUCAAUUAUCAAAAGUCUGAGAUUACAAUGAGUCUUAGGGGGUAUUUAUACUAGCAACAGCCCUGCUAGAUAGGUAAACAGCCCUGCUAGAUAGGUAUGAAAACGAAAUAGAGUUUCUGAGGGAAGGCAAUGUGAAAGGUCCCCUCGAAAUGGAUUCCCGAGGUGGCUUCGCGUGACUGUUGGCCUCCAGAGCAGUUUCCAAUAAACUGACCAUAACUUUUUAUUGGGAAGUCCAAAUGAUGAACCGUUUCUUAGGUGUGAAACUAGACUCCAAGAGCUUUCCAUCAAUGUAUUCCAUGCACCACGAAACUCUGU
rnacentral:lncRNA from 1 species